UACGAAGGGGGCUAGCGUUGCUCGGAAUCACUGGGCGUAAAGGGUGCGUAGGCGGGUCUUUUAAGUCAGGGGUGAAAUCCUGGAGCUCAACUCCAGAACUGCCUUUGAUACUGAAGAUCUUGAGUUCGGGAGAGGUGAGUGGAACUGCGAGUGUAGAGGUGAAAUUCGUAGAUAUUCGCAAGAACACCAGUGGCGAAGGCGGCUCACUGGUCCGGUACUGGACGCUGAGGUGCGAAAGCG
rnacentral:rRNA from 1 species